CUUUCUUCAAUCGCAUCGAAAAUUUUCGUUUUCGUUUUUACUAUUCUCACUGUUCCUUUGUGUUUUGUAUGAUUAUUGGUAACUUCUCUGUAAAAUUGUGAAAGAGGAAAAUGACGCAACAUGUUUGAUCUGGAAGAAUUUGUCUAGAUGAUUGAGCGUGAUGCGAUUUUCUUUGGUUUGAGUAGUUUUGAAUCAUGAACACUUCAAUGAAGCAAUCCAAUGAAGAAUAUGGCCGGAGGUUGCAGGAAUUUCAGGCCGAAUUAAUUAGGCAUAGAUUUUUGUGCAGAUAAGGUUAGUUACCUUCAGAAUGAUAAUACUAUGCUAGAGAACAAGCAAAAAGAGGUGAAGGGAUACAUAGCUUACUUCAGUCUAUGGAAACUUUCGUGAAUGCUUAUGAGGCUAUUGUAGACAUAAUGUAGGAGCCAUAUAUUUUUGCAAGGAAUAAAGUUCAAACAAAUGCUCAAUGGCCAUGAAUGUGGGAGCCAAUCACAAAGCUGUGCAUCUUGAAGAUAGCAAAAACAUAACCAGGUUUGGAUAUGAUAUUAUACGUUGAGAUCUCUCUUUUGCAUUCCUAACAAACCCAGUCUUUCACAUUUAUUUGUAAUGCUUCUAACUGAUGCACUAUUUUAAAAGAGGGACUGACCUGGAGAGUAUGACCAUAGUUCAACAUGAUGCUUUACUGGUUUUCCGAACCCUGUGGUUUGUGUUUUUGUACACUGUCUUCUAAUUGUUGAGUCAUUUAAGCAACUUGAAGCCUCCUAUAUGAAUUUCGAAACUUGGUCUGCAGAUGGGCAUGAAGGAAGAUAACAAUGAAGUCUCUUUGAA